rnacentral:rRNA from 1 species
AUUGAACGCUGGCGGCAGGCCUAACACAUGCAAGUCGAGCGGAUGAAGGGAGCUUGCUCCUGGUUUCCGCGGCGGACGGGUGAGUAAUGCCUAGGAAUCUGCCUGGUAGUGGGGGAUAACGUCCGGAAACGGGCGCUAAUACCGCAUACGUCCUGAGGGAGAAAGUGGGGGAUCUUCGGACCUCACGCUAUCAGAUGAGCCUAGGUCGGAUUAGCUAGUUGGUGGGGUAAAGGCCUACCAAGGCGACGAUCCGUAACUGGUCUGAGAGGAUGAUCAGUCACACUGGAACUGAGACACGGUCCAGACUCCUACGGGAGGCAGCAGUGGGGAAUAUUGGACAAUGGGCGAAAGCCUGAUCCAGCCAUGCCGCGUGUGUGAAGAAGGUCUUCGGAUUGUAAAGCACUUUAAGUGGGGAGGAAGGGCAGUAAGUUAAUACCUUGCUGUUUUGACGUUACCAACAGAAUAAGCACCGGCUAACUUCGUG